rnacentral:ncRNA from 1 species
UCGCCUCAUGAUCGCGCUGGUGCCCCGCGAGGGGCUUAAAAGGGAACGCGGUACGGGAUUUUGGUCCCUAAGCCGAGGCUGUCCCUGCAACUGUAAGCGGCGAGCGCGAUGCACAUCGCGUCUGAUCCUUCGGGACGGGCGCAGCCACUGGGUCGAACAGACUUGGGAAGGUGGUGCAUCGUGGCGUUGACCCGUGAGCCAGGAGACCUGCCGGCGUGGGUCGCUCUUG